GUCUAUGGCCAUACCACUCUGAACACACCCGAUCUCGUCUGAUCUCAGAAGCUAAGCAGGCUCGGGCCUGGUUAGUACUUGGAUGGGAGAAAGUGCUUGAAAGAGACUUCCAGGACAGUGGAGGGU
ensembl:rRNA 5S_rRNA 5S ribosomal RNA